AAGUCGUAACAAGGUUUCCGUAGGUGAACCUGCGGAAGGAUCAUUAACACGUUUCCACGUACCCACUCAAUGUGCAUGAAAAUCUCCCCAAUUCGUUGGGCUAUUUUUUUUCAUUUUAUUAACUUAUUUCACAAUUUGAACAACUUCUAUAAAAUAUUGCAAGUUGACUUAUUCUAUGGAAAAUAUGAAAAUAUUUUCUACUUUCUUAUUUUAAUCGAUAGGAAUAUCACAAAGUACAACUCUUAGCAAUGGAUAUCUUGGCUCUC
rnacentral:misc_RNA from 1 species